GUGGCGCAUCCAAGGGUAUUACUUAUUCGGUCGAGUUUAUCUCGCAAUGCCCAAGCGCAAAAAAGGGCGCUAUGAAUAUUCGCAAGCCAUUCAUCCCUAGAGUGUCGAGAGCAAGACACAAAGGAUUAGUUGCUAGGUACUCCGUAUGCCUUUUGAAAUGUGGCCUGUUGGCUGGAGAGAAAUUCUUGGUGGUGGAGUGCAUGGUCAAAGAAGGCUAUACGAAAGAAUCUGUACCGCUUCUAUAGCAUAGACAACCCAGACCACAAUGGCUUUUUUGGUCUAUUCAAAGAAUAACACACAUCCAAAGGACGCAGUUUACGCAGCAGCGCUAUUGCACAAAGGCAGUGAUCCCUCAAUGUUUCCCUACCGAGGUAGGAAGUCCGACCCAAGCUAAUUCUUGCCAGGAUUCCUUUUACCUUACCUCAAUUUCCCCUGCAUAUAUAUAUGCUACCCACGCUAGAAGAAGAGUAUGUAUGUACUGUGCCUGAAAGGUGCAUUCGACGCCAUGAGGCCAAUCAACGGCAAUUUUAGUUUUAUAGGUUUAGCCGAGAUGGUGUGGACACGACUGCUUCCUCCUCCGAUCAGUUUAAACUGCUUGCAGCACAACAAAAACCGAGCUGGAACAACUAUGUAGAAACAUAGGCAUCACGCGACAUGAAAGAAUUUCGUCAUCAGCUUGAUUAAAUAAACAUGAGAAAAUUAUAAUUAUUCAGCUGUGUCCCAGAAGGGAGAAUUUUGUCCAAAAAGAACCUAUGUACAGUACAUAUACCACUAGUUAUAUGCAAAAAUAAAA
rnacentral:sRNA from 1 species